UUGUGCUCACUUGGCCACAUAAGUACUAAAAUUAGAAUGAUAUAGAAAAGUUAGCAUGGCUCCUGCACAACGUUGACAUGUAAAUUUGUGAAGCGUUCCAUAAUUUU
ensembl:snRNA U6 U6 spliceosomal RNA